AGAAUCAACGCUGGCGGCGUGCCUAACACAUGCAAGUCGAACGAGAAAGUGGAGCAAUCCACGAGUAAAGUGGCGCACGGGUGAGUAACACGUGACUAACCUACCCUUGAGUGGGGGAUAACCUAGGGAAACCUGGGCUAAUACCGCAUAAUACCUACGGGUCAAAGGAGCAAUUCGCUUAAGCGAGGGGGUCGCGGCCGAUUAGUUAGUUGGCGGGGUAAUGGCCCACCAAGACGAUGAUCGGUAUCCGGCCUGAGAGGGCGCACGGACACACUGGAACUGAAACACGGUCCAGACUCCUACGGGAGGCAGCAGUGGGGAAUUUUGCGCAAUGGGGGAAACCCUGACGCAGCAACGCCGCGUGGAGGAUGAAGUCCCUUGGGAUGUAAACUCCUUUCGAUCGGGACGAUUAUGACGGUACCGGAAGAAGAAGCCCCGGCUAACUUCGCGCCAGCAGCCGC
rnacentral:rRNA from 1 species